GUAGAUAUAUUAAAUUAGGGUUUUUCAGCUUUACAAGUUUAGGGAUUUAUGAAUCAACGAUGAGAGAGUAUUACUUACCUGAUGCCAUGAUCGACAAUGCUAAAGCGAGAGGGAAUGACGCCAAAAGGGACUGACAACGAGAAGGAGUGAUGGCGAGAGGGAGUAAUAACCAGAGGGAGUGAUAGCUAAAGGGAGUCACGACGAGACAAUGACAGGGAGUGACAGUGGUAAGGACUCAUGGUGACAACAGACUAAGGGCAAAAGGGACUAAGGUUGAGAAAAUUAGAGGAAGAAAGAACCAAGGAGGGAGAAAUCAAAAUGAUAAUUUGUUUUAUUUU
rnacentral:lncRNA from 1 species